CCUAGGGUGGCUGCAGUGGGGAAUAUUGGACAAUGGGGGGAACCCUGAUCCAGCCAUGCCGCGUGUGUGAAGAAGGCCCUCGGGUUGUAAAGCACUUUCAGUGAGGAAGAACGCCUGGUGGUUAAUACCCAUCAGGAAAGACAUCACUCACAGAAGAAGCACCGGCUAACUCCGUGCCAGCAGCCGCGGUAAUACGGAGGGUGCGAGCGUUAAUCGGAAUUACUGGGCGUAAAGCGCGCGUAGGUGGCUUGAUAAGCCGGUUGUGAAAGCCCCGGGCUCAACCUGGGAACGGCAUCCGGAACUGUCAAGCUAGAGUGCAGGAGAGGAAGGUAGAAUUCCCGGUGUAGCGGUGAAAUGCGUAGAGAUCGGGAGGAAUACCAGUGGCGAAGGCGGCCUUCUGGACUGACACUGACACUGAGGUGCGAAAGCGUGGGUAGCAAACAGGAUUAGAUACCCCGGUAGUC
rnacentral:rRNA from 1 species